GAUACCCAGAUCGUGUAGAGAUCAAGGCAGAUAUAUCUUACAACUUUUUUCGUUUAAUUCCAGAAUCUAGGCGAAAAGUUGUCCUUAAAAAGGACAUUUUUUGUCGGUUUGUUUUAAGCUAUGUACGGACCUCAGCAUGUAAGGCGAAAUCCGGGUCAACCAAACCAGCCAGCAUUUGAUCCUCGUAUGCCAACUAACCCACAACCGAUUCCAAAUUCAGCCCCAAGAAAUUUAGCGUCUGGAGCAGCAAGAAGCUUCCCAAGCUACUCUGUAAGUUUGUGGUGGAUCAUUCUCUUGAUUUUUAAUUUCAGUAUUUA